UUUGAAAGUAAUAAAAGAUUAAACGUAAAUGUAAUAAUAAUAAAAAAGCAUAGACUUGUCGAAGCGCAAGCAUACAUUUACAACUCUAAAAAUAUGUUCAAUCUGUGUUUAUUUAUUGAUUGUCAUUCGUAUUUAACUUUAUUAUAAUAUAAUUGAUGAUUUAAAGAAAACAAUGAUUACUUUAACUUUAUCGUUUUGUUUGAUUAGUGGCUC
rnacentral:misc_RNA from 1 species